AAGUCCCUGCCGUGUUCGUGACUUGGUCAUAUAUUCUCUGAACCUAUGCCAUAUGGCUAAACGGCUGCAGGAUCGGUCGUAGGUGAGAUCGUCUCUAGUCAGACGAACCCGAAGCGGCCCUGAAAGUGGCCAACUUGAACCUGAGGGUUCGAGAUGCCGACCUAGACGGCACAGGCGGGGCAAAU
rnacentral:other from 2 species